rnacentral:rRNA from 1 species
AUUGAACGCUGGCGGCAGGCCUAACACAUGCAAGUCGAGCGAGCGGCGGACGGGUGAGUAAUGUCUGGGAAACUGCCUGUUGUAGGGGGAUAACUCCUGGAAACGGUAGCUAAUACCGCAUACCAUCAGAUGUGCCCAGAUGGGAUUAGCUCGUAGGUGGGGUAACGGCUCACCUAGGCGACGAUCCCUAGCUGGUCUGAGAGGAGGACCAGCCAGACUGGAACUGAGGCACGGUCAAGACGCCUACGGGAGGCAGCAGUGGGGAAUAUGGCCAAAGGGGCGCAAGCCUGAUGCAGCGAUGCCGCGUGUAUGAAGAAGGCCUUAGGGUUGUAGAGUACUUUAAGCGGGGAGGCGUUACCGGCAGAAGAAGCACCGGAUAACUCCGUGCCAGCAGCCGCGGUAAUU